ACAUGGUGGUGUGCCUUGCACCCAAGUCCAGGCAUACUAUUUGGCCCACAAAGGAAAGGCGACAUCCGAUGUCACCUUCAACCCGCAGGAUCCGCCCGAAGUGUACAGCAACGCAAGCGUCCACAGCCGCCUCAGUGGGUACACCUCGAUGGCACAAGAAGUUCAUGGGCCGGAGUUUGAUGCGAUCAAUGAGCCCAUUGAUGGAGAAGUCAUCAUGAGGGCGGGAGGAGGCAAGAAGCAUGGACGGUACUGGUUUGGCGACAGCUUAGUCGACACGGCGACUACUCCCACUCUCUCGCAGAUUCAAGCCAGGAGUACCAGCUCAAGCCCUGCCAUACGCCCACGGCCAGACACUACACAGACUCAGAUUGAGGCUGUCAAGGCCCAGAUGGAAGCAGCCUUCCAAGCACGGCAGGAGGCGGCAGGGGAGAGGUGGAGGGCCGAGCGGGGCGACAUCCAGCAAAAAUUGGACCAAGCUCUAACAUUUAUGCAAAGCCUGGGCUCGGCGAUGGGUGUUUCGCCUCCACAAUUCCCUCCGGCCCCACUUGUUCGUCGUGUAGAAACUCCUCCUACCGUAAGUCAUUUUGACUCCUAUCGAGUUUCGGAAUGUCUUAGUGACUUAGCAUUAACCUAGAUUUAUUUAAAAAUAAUAUCUUAUGAUACAUCUACAAUGACUUAGAACUUGGGCUAAUGCUUGUAGUUUCAUUCUUGUGUAACUCAAUAUAUAUUCGCUUAUGUGCAGAAUCAAUCGGCGGCAUCCAAUGAUGGGCCAGUGAAUCCUGACUUCUCACCUCCGGUGCAGCAGACUCAGCAGCCUCAGCAGUUUGUGUGGCCACCGCCUCAAUGGGUGGCUUGGAUUCAGCAGCAGCAGCAGCCAGGUUGGUCGCAGACGCCUACAUGGCCGCCCCCGCAGAUGUGGCCGCAGCACCCGCCACCGCCGUCGGGCCCGUGAGUUAUGUUGUAUGGACUUGCUUUGUACCACUUUUCUGGAUUUGUUUGAACUUGAUUUGUAUGAACUUGUAUGAACUCGACCAGUACUUGUGGUUGUCGAUGAACGAAACAAGACUUUAUUUGUAUGUGUGUAUCAAAUGCCUGUGAUGCUUAUUCGGAUACAUGGAAUAAUCAUUAUGAUAUA